rnacentral:rRNA from 1 species
UGAGUAACCUGCCCUUCACUUCGGGAUAACUCCGGGAAACCGGGGCUAAUACUGGAUAUGACCUGGUGCCGCAUGGUGCUGGGUGGAAAGUUUUUCGGUGGGGGAUGGACUCGCGGCCUAUCAGCUUGUUGGUGAGGUAGUGGCUUACCAAGGCGGCGACGAGUAGCCGGCCUGAGAGGGCGAUCGGCCACACUGGGACUGAGACACGGCCCAGACUCCUACGGGAGGCA